UUGGAGGGCAAGUCUGGUGCCAGCAGCCGCGGUAAUUCCAGCUCCAAUAGCGUAUAUUAAAGUUGUUGCAGUUAAAAAGCUCGUAGUUGAACUUCGGGGUCUACCCAUUGGUCAGGCUUAAUUGUCUGUACUGGUGAGAUGGAUCUCUACCUUCUGAGGAACUUUCAUGCCAUUUAUUUGGUGUGGUUGGAAAUCAGGACUGUUGCUUUGAAAAAAUUAGAGUGUUUAAAGCAGACUAUCGUCUGAAUACAUUAGCAUGGAAUAAUGAAAUAGGACGGACUGAUUCUAUUUCGUUGGUUUCUAGGAUCACCGUAAUGAUUAAUAGGGAUAGUUGGGGGCAUUAGUAUUCAAUUGUCAGAGGUGAAAUUCUUGGAUUUAUUGAAGACUAACUAUUGCGAAAGCAUUUGCCAAGGAUGUUUUCAUUAAUCAAGAACGAAAGUUAGGGGAUCGAAGACGAUCAGAUACCGUCGUAGUCUUAACCAUAAACUAUGCCGACUAGGAAUCGGGCGUCGUUAUUUUAAUGACUCGCUCGGCGCCUUACGGGAAAC
rnacentral:rRNA from 1 species